rnacentral:rRNA from 1 species
GCUUGCUACCUAACCUAGCGGCGGACGGGUGAGUAAUGCUUAGGAAUCUGCCUAUUAGUGGGGGACAACAUUCCGAAAGGAAUGCUAAUACCGCAUACGCCCUACGGGGGAAAGCAGGGGAUCUUCGGACCUUGCGCUAAUAGAUGAGCCUAAGUCAGAUUAGCUAGUUGGUGGGGUAAAGGCCUACCAAGGCGACGAUCUGUAGCGGGUCUGAGAGGAUGAUCCGCCACACUGGGACUGAGACACGGCCCAGACUCCUACGGGAGGCAGCAGUGGGGAAUAUUGGACAAUGGGCGAAAGCCUGAUCCAGCCAUGCCGCGUGUGUGAAGAAGGCCUUUUGGUUGUAAAGCACUUUAAGCGAGGAGGAGGCUACUUGGAUUAAUACUCUAGGAUAGUGGACGUUACUCGCAGAAUAAGCACCGGCUAACUCUGUGCCAGCAGCCGCGGUAAUACAGAGGGUGCGAGCGUUAAUCGGAUUUACUGGGCGUAAAGCGUGCGUAGGCGGCUUUUUAAGUCGGAUGUGAAAUCCCUGAGCUUAACUUAGGAAUUGCAUUCGAUACUGGGAAGCUAGAGUAUGGGAGAGGAUGGUAGAAUUCCAGGUGUAGCGGUGAAAUGCGUAGAGAUCUGGAGGAAUACCGAUGGCGAAGGCAGCCAUCUGGCCUAAUACUGACGCUGAGGUACGAAAGCAUGGGGAGCAAACAGGAUUAGAUACCCUGGUAGUCCAUGCCGUAAACGAUGUCUACUAGCCGUUGGGGCCUUUGAGGCUUUAGUGGCGCAGCU